ensembl:lncRNA
GCCUGCUGUUAUUAUGAGAGGUAACAAUGUGAUCUGCCUCAGGCACCUCUCUCUCCAUCCAUGCCAGGCAGGUCAUUUUCCUUUUAUCAGAAAGGAGGGUAGGUCAUCGCAUUUCAGUGCAUGUUGACACCACUGCUAAUAAAAGCAAGAAAAGAAGUCGUUGCCCUUAAGAUGCCUUAACCUCUCCCUUGCCUCAAACAGAUAUUUCACAGUUCCUCCACGGGAUUUGGGACUGGAAAGUGAUUUGACCCCACACUGCCUUAACCACACAGAUCUGAACCAGGUAACAGGAGAGCUUGAGGGAGUUCCCUGAUGGUCUAGUGGUUAAGGAUUCCACGUUGCCACUGCUGUGGCUUGAGUUACUGCUGUGACUGGGUUCAAUCCCUAGCCUGGGAAGUUCCACAUGCCACGGGGUGGGGGCAGGGGGCAGGUGAAGAAAAGAAAGAAAGAAAGCAACAGUGAGUCAGGACAAUGACUUCUCAAAUAGCAAGAACUUUCAAACUUUUUACUUUUGUUUUUUCUGUUUUCUUUUUAGGGCAGCACCUGCAGCAUAUGUAAGUUCCCGGGCUAGGGAUCGAACUGGAAUUGUAGCUGCCAGCCACAGCCACAGUCACAGCAAAGCAGGAUCCGAGCCACGUCUGCGACCUAGACUAUAGUUCACGCGAUGCUGGAUCCUUAACCCACCGAUGAGCGAGGCCAGGAAUGGAACCUGCAUCCUCAUGGACACUGUGUCAGGUUCUUAACCCUCUGAGCCACAAAAGGAACACCAAACAUUUUAUGUUUUAAACCAUUACUUUGAAAGAAAUCUUAUCCCAAAGUAUAAACAUAAAAAAUACAUAAAAAGAAGCCAAUCUAUUUGCAGACCUCCACUCCUACAGCUGGGUUCUGGGAGAGCCCAGGACACAGUCUGCCAAUCAGUGCACCAGAGCCUACGACCAUUUGAAAGGGGCAAAACUUGAGAUUUUUGUUGUUUGUUCUUUCAUUCUAUCUUCUUCCUCUCUUAAUGGCCAUAGAGAACUCUCUUCUAGAUGACCUCUGAAAUUUAAAACCCCCAAUGAGAUUUCCCAAUUCACGUGCAGGUAACCUAAGAAACACACUACAAAUAAGAUAUUUUUUACACCUUAUCUUGACAAAGUUUACGCACCUUUUCCAGAAGGUAAGCUGGCAAGAGGCAUCAAAGGGCCUUAAAAACAGUCUGAUCUUUUGACCUAGUUGUUCUAUUUCUAGGAAUUUAUUCACUAAAAAAUAAAUAAAUAAAUCACACAUAAGGGCAUCUGAACAAAUCAGUCAAUGCAGCAUUAUUUAUGCUAAUAAAAAUAAAUGAAAUAAGUUGAAUGGUCAAAAAUAAGAAACUGUUUAAUUUUUAUAGUCAUAUGAUAGCUCCAACAUGCUCUGGCAUUAAAAUGCCUCUACCAUAACAAAAAAUGCAAAAAUUGGUGCCAACUCUUUACAGUAUCAUCUGGAAAAUGUAAAGAUAAAUGGAUGGAUAGACAGACUAUAAAAUUUACUUACUGAUUGAACUGGAUACUAAAUUUAUUACUAUCUUCCUUGGCAAAAGACACACAGGCAUGUUGGAUUAUUUAAAAAGGCAACAUAAAAUUUUAUCUGGAGCUACCUUGCUCACUGACACUAUAUCCUAGUAUAACUGUAAUUAUUGGGAUGCUGAUAAAAAUAUUCUAUUUCCUCAUGUGUUCAUGCUCUACCCUCCUCUUCCUUUAAUAUGAUGUGCAUGAUUGAGGCAGGUGUAAGGAAAGACACGCCAUUAACAAUAAUGAAAUAUUUUGACCUACAACAUCUUCAAAAGGCAUAAAGGGGAGCCUCUGAUUAUAUUUAAACCCCACAAUAAAUCUGUCCCAAAACAUGUGCAUAGAUUAUGCCACAACAGGUGACAGUUUACUUAAGUGUCUGUUUUGUUCCAGACACUACGCCAGAUACUGAAAAUACAACAGACCAACAAAAACACAACCCUUGUGGAGUUCCCAUUGUGGUGCAAUGGAAACCAAUCCAACCAGUAUUCGUGAGGAUGCAGGUUCAAUCCUUGGCCUCGCUCGGUGGGUCGGGGAUCCUGCAUUGCCUCGAGCUGUGGUGUAGGUCCGUUUAGUUCAUGGCUGGGUUCCAGAUCUGACAACAUGGCUCAAUGCACAGUAAGAGCUUAAAAAAUAUUUGUGGAGCGAGAGAAGGAAGGAGAAGACAGGCAGGCAGACCACUCAAAACUGUGGUUUGAGGGCUUGACUAAAACGUGGUAUUAUGAACUAAAAUCUGUAACAGUGGUGGGGAGGGGGUGUCGAAGAGCUGAAACGCAAAGACUGACUGUCUUGAGUUCUAGAGUAUGUUAUCUGCCCAGACAGUGCCUUGAUAAAUCUUUUCUGCUCAGAAAAGGAUAAAGAGGAAACCAGGAAGUGCCUGUGGAGGGCCCAGGGUACUGCACAAAAGCAAGUAUUUCUCAAACAGAAUCUCUCCUUUCGUCCUCACCACAGGACGGAAGUACCCCUACUUCUGCACAUGAAGAAACUGAGACUAAAGGGUGAACUGACUCACUCAAGGUGACACGGCUGGAUGUGGCAGAAGCCAAACUGAAAUUCCCACCCCAUCCACCACACAACACCAGAAGGAAACCAAGUUUAGUCACCAGAAUUUUUCAUAUACUUUAAGAAUAUGGUUGGGCUUUCCCUCAUCCCUUUCUACUUUGGGAUGCUUCUGCAUUCAGAGUCUCAGAUUUACACGGAGAGAUGGCUUUGACGGCCGUAUUUCUGUGUAUCUAAGAAUCUCCUUGCCUAAGCUUGACCUCUGAAGUCUCUAAAACUUGAUCACAGCCAAUUAAACUCCUUGUGUUUGAACUUCUUUACCAUGAAAAAAAAAAAGUCUUAUCCUCCCUUCGUUAUUUUAAAUUUCCCCAAUCCCUGCUUUACAAAUCGUACAAACUGACCUCUCCAUUCCUUUGCAAAAUCACAUAAAAACCAAAGUAAAUGUUUCAUCUUGUCAGCUCAUCCCAGGUACCACUGGGAUCCAGUCCCUUAAACCACCCAGUCCCUUAAACCAAUGGCUGAAAGCUGAGAGGAUAUGCAAGACAAGCCUGAGAGUUUUAACUGGCAGACCUGCUCAGAUCCUCAUUGUGCUGUUUGAAACUCGGACCACAUGAGACAACAGUUCACUUUUUUCACCGUGGCAACAGAUUCAACCUCUUGGCCCUGUGAAAGUCAUCGGAAUAUAUUCAACCAAAAGAAAAAUGAAAAGAGAGAAAGAGAGAGAAAGGAGGAGGAUAUAUUCAGCACUCUGAUUUUUUUUUAUGCACAUUUGAUCAUGCUGUUGACAGCCCUGGAAGUUAAGGAAUAUGGACUGUUGCACAGAGGUUUCAAACCUGGAUGGAAACCAAUGGCAGGCUCCUUUUGACAGUCGAAUAAUGACAAGCACGUUGCAGGCCAAUGCCCGUCAUUCACCAACAUCUCCGACCUGCUCCAGCCGCUGCACAGCGACUAAGUGGAGGGUCAGAGGUUAAGCUCCAAGAAACCAGCAAUGAAGGGCAACUGUCAUGCACCGCUGCCCAUUGUGAAGCAGCAAGGAGUGGCUGUCUCCUCCAGAACAUGCAAAACGUUCUCAUUCUGUCCAGGCAGAGACACAUCUGAAGGUCCUAAAUGAGACCAUUGCCAAUUCAUGAAGCUCCAAACUGACAGCAUGCCAUUCAAGCUGUCUCCGAUUUGACUUUUUUUUUCCCUAUUUCAAAUCACAAAUGCAUGCAAAGUAUACAGUUAAGCAUAACUCUUCAGCCAUGGUUUUAAGCAUGCUAGGCUUUUAGACACCUACAUAGUCUCAGACACAUACACACUCUCAGAGCCUAAAAAAAAAGGAAAGAAAAUGCAAAAUUCAUUUGGUCUUCUUUAGCGAGUUUCUAAUAAAGGACAUCAUUCAAAAUGGCACAGAGGAACCCAGGUGUCAGUUUUCCAGGAAAGUUCCUAAGUGUGUGCAAAACAAAAUAAUCUUAAAGAGGAAUUAUGUCAUAUUAAUAUCAUAUUAACUAUAAGAACACAAGAAUGUAACUGUGUAUAGAGAGAAUUUUAUUUAGUGAAAGCCAUUUGGUUUUAAGGACACGGUAACUUAUCUAUACAUUUUAUAAUUUUUUAAGAUUUAUCCCAAGAAUAUAGUUCACAAAUGAUUCAGAGUUUAGCACACGACACAAACACAUCCUUCUACAAUUCUACGUUUGAGAUCUUACUGCUUUUUUAUACAGUGAAAUUGAGUGAUCUCCCUUAGAUGUGUGUAUGAACAUUUAUUAACGAAGAGUCUUCUUCAUCUUUAUUGAGUAAAAAGAAAUGUCUCAUCUUAUCCAGAAGCCAAAAGACUGUCACUGCAAGUGACUGGCCAGGAUGGAGAAUUAAGGUAAACAAGACUUCUUAUACCCUUUUCAGCAACAAUAGGAUUUCUAUCCACAAAUAGAGCCAUAAGUGGCCCUCAUCAGGGACAGCUUUAAAGGUAUGAACUCGAAAAUGAACCUUAUAUAAAGCUGUUGGUCUACACCAACUGCGGCACUAAAGUCUCUCUUUAAGCCCUGAUCACUAUCACCCAACCUUCCUUAAGGAAGCCUGGGGAGAGGAGAUAACCUAUCAACUCUAAGGAACAAAGCUUACAAAGACACCCCAUUAUUAAAGCUUGUACAGACAGAGGUCAACUAAUUGCCCUUUGCUCUAGCAACAAGAACAUACAGAGCUAGUCUCCAAUACAGAGCUGCAGAUAACCAAACAUGUUAUUUUAAGUAAUGUAUGAGCAUGCGUCAACCUCCCACUCCCAGGCAAAACCAGCAAUUAUAAUAAACUUAGAUUAUUAUAGGUAGCUGGGGUCAAGAAAAAUAUUUCAAGCCACAAAUACCUAUUGUUUUUGAAAUAAAGUAACCGAGUGAAUAUUCUGCAAUAUAAGAGACCAGAUGAAAAUUUUAAUAUAAAAUGACUUCUCUCUCCUGAGGGAUAACUGAAAAUCCCUUACUUCAUAUUCAGGCAUGUACGGUACACAAAAAAUCACAAAGACGCAAUUCGGAAACAGGAACGCCUUCCCCAAAUCCUUUUCUUUUGGACCUGGGUUGCAAACCUCAAAGUUUAAUGUGAACCAACACAAGACAAAUAAAGGAAAUACGCCUUGACAUAACUACAGAGUAAACCAACGGCACGCAUAUUCUUAACAGAUAACACAGAACAAGAACUUAAAUGGCUUCAAAAACAGAUGAGCUGAUUUAUCCGUCAUAGAUUCACAACAAGUAACAGAGGUAAACCAAGAAUUCAGGAGAGGCAGAUCCUUGAGGAGAUCCCCCAAAAACCUCACAUGGAAAAGUCCAAAGCUCGAGCUACUUAAAUAUCAGCAAACUCAAUACCGUAAGAAAAAGAGGGUCACUGCCAAGCCCAGAUUCAGACGGCUGGGCUAAAUUCCCUCCUCAGGCCUUCCUGCUCUGUGACAUUGCAAAACGGGGGCCCUACUUUUGUGCAGAUGACACACAGGAUACCCACCUAUGGUCCUAAACCGAUCAUUCAUUCCCUUCUUCAAAUAUCUUGGAGGGGGCAGUAACGGCCGUUGGUAGGGGUAAGGCUGGUAGACAAAGGCUGGCAGACACAUUUCAGGUGUGACAAAGCUGGGCGUGACAGUUCUUCAGGAAUGUUCAAGAAGAAGGGCUCACGCGCAUAUCAAUCACUCUACCCCGGACAUAGUAGAUACGCAAUAGACACCUAAAGAAUAAAUGAAUGGACUCCUUGUCAAACUUUCUACCGGGUUGAUGGACAAAGGAAUGCACUCAAAAGGCAGGUUCUCGAAGAGACUUACAUUCGAUUCAUGACCUCAAAAGAGCAGGCUGGCAACUGCUGUGUUCCACUUUCCCCAUUCCCUCCCUAUUAUUCCCCCCUCACCUUUCCACAUAUCCCAAAUUUCAACAGCUAAAAGGGUCUUUCAUACACAUCUAUAGAAGAUUCAAAACAAAAUGUUGCCGGAUUCAGCAAUAAUCAGCAGUCAAAUUAGAGAUUCCUGCUAUUUCAAAGCUCCACAGAUCAGUGAGGGUGAGUAGAACUCCCACAAGCAGGAUGAAGGCUGAAGGAUGCGGCCUCAGCAACAGUGUCCUGGUAUUUGUUCCAGGUGAGGCGAGCAGUAAGAGUCCCAUGAGACCUAUAGACCAAGGGGACGCUCCCUCUUCUGACUCUGUGCCUUUUUGUUAGGUCCUCAGUGACAUAGUGACACAGCAAGGAAUGUCAUCUUUCUUCUGUAAAUGAAAGCAAAAGCCUAGAUGCAUAAAGCUCAUAUUAUUUCACAUAAUUUUAGAAAUACUGCUAUAAGCUGGGGGAGGGGGGAUAUUAAACUAAAUGGAGGCACUGCUCUUUUCUGCGUCUGAUUCUGUGUGGAGAGAUGCUUCACUGAAGAGCCUAAAUGCUUUGAGAUCAUUAGUUUAGACGAUGAGCUAACCCAAGCCAGCACCCUGCUUUUCUCCUUCUGGCUGAACAAAAGCCAGACACACUCAUUCUACCCGGUUCGGUGUACACUGAACUGCUCUGUGCAAGGAGUACCAGUUGCCUCUAGGUCAUGAAAUAAUACUAAAAACUUUAUAAUCAUUCAUUGAUUUAGUUUUCAGCAUACUAUAUCAUUUGAAUCCAAUGGGAGCAUAAAGAGCUAUUUGUGAGGUCAACCACGGUACAGACAGAUGCUGACAUGCUAUUGAUGGCAAGGUGGAAAGAAAUUGCUAAAUACAGCAGAUCAAUACCUCGUUUCACUGUUACAGCCUUCUGCAGACAUAAAAUAUAUAUCUUUACAGCUACAAAAAUAAUAAUAAUGAAAGUGGGAGAUAAAUGCUUCCCUCAAGGUAAACUAUUUGAUUAGCUAAGGGCAAAGGUGACAGCAGCAGUUACACUAAAGUAACUUUAUAGUCUUAAAUAAAAACAAGAGGAAGAGCAGUAGAUGAAAUGGCAAAGUGAAUCGGGACACAUAGCUGGUUCAGUUAUAACUCUUUUAAAAAACACAGUGAUCAGUAAAAGGGCCACCAAAAAUCUAAGCUUUUUCCUACCAUCCACAAAUCCAAUUUCCUGAGGUCUAUCCUAUCACACGGUUUUACACAAAACAUUUCUAAACAAAAUCUUCUCAGUUACUGAUGGAGAACAAAUCGAGAGCUGAUGAUAAAUAAAUGCUCUGUCAAGUUACAAACAAAAACAAAAACCUUCACCUUCUAGUCUAUAUCUGUUCCAUUUGACCCAAAAUGUUGAAAGCCAACCCUCUCUUUAGUACCUUGUUAGACACAUCCAACAAAUGUAUGGUUCUGGGCCAGAGGGAACUCAUAAUCUCCCCAGGAAAAAGAGAAUUACAUACAAUACUGAUAUAAACAAUAAUAAAAUGUCAAAUGUAAUACAACCAAAUGCCAAGCUGUCAGGUACCACAGGCCAGAAAACGUACCAAAACGUUACCAUACGUUUGGACGAAGGAAAUGAGGUCAUUGAGGCAAGAGAUGAAAGUAAUGACCCUCCAAAGCUCCACGCAAGGGUGGGAACGUGACACGGUUCCUCAGGGGCUGGCCGACUUAAUACAUCAUCAUCACCUUAGCUUUUGGUUCUCCGAGAUGAAACUCUUUUUUUUUUUUCUUUUUCUUUUUUUGUCUUUUUAGAGCCAUACCCAUGG